UGGGGAAUAUUGCGCAAUGGGCGAAAGCCUGACGCAGCGACGCCGCGUGAGGGAUGAAGGUUUUCGGAUCGUAAACCUCUGUCAGAAGGGAAGAAACCGCACUGUGCUAAUCAGCAGUGCCUUGACGGUACCUUCAAAGGAAGCACCGGCUAACUCCGUGCCAGCAGCCGCGGUAAUACGGAGGGUGCAAGCGUUAAUCGGAAUUACUGGGCGUAAAGCGCACGUAGGCUGCUUUGUAAGUCAGGGGUGAAAUCCCACGGCUCAACCGUGGAACUGCCUUUGAUACUGCUUAGCUUGAAUCCGGGAGAGGGUGGCGGAAUUCCAGGUGUAGGUGUGAAAUCCGUAGAUAUCUGGAGGAACAUCAGUGGCGAAGGCGGCCACCUGGACCGGUAUUGACGCUGAGGUGCGAAAGCGUGGGGAGCAAACAGG
rnacentral:rRNA from 1 species